rnacentral:tRNA from 1 species
GUCUCAGUGGCGUAAUGGUUAACGCAUGAGGCCCGGAUAGGCGCGAGACGUGGGUUCGAAUCCUGCUUGGGAUG